rnacentral:rRNA from 1 species
GGUAAGGCCCUUCGGGGUACACGANCGGCGAACGGGUGAGUAACACGUGGGUGAUCUGCCUCGCACUUCGGGAUAAGCCUGGGAAACUGGGUCUAAUACCGGAUAUGACCUCUUGAUGCAUGUCAGGUGGUGGAAAGAUUUAUCGGUGCGAGAUGGGCCCGCGGCCUAUCAGCUUGUUGGCGGGGUAACGGCCCACCAAGGCGACGACGGGUAGCCGACCUGAGAGGGUGACCGGCCACACUGGGACUGAGACACGGCCCAGACUCCUACGGGAGGCAGCAGUGGGGAAUAUUGCACAAUGGGCGAAAGCCUGAUGCAGCGACGCCGCGUGAGGGAUGACGGCCUUCGGGUUGUAAACCUCUUUCGACAGGGACGAAGCGCAAGUGACGGUACCUGUAGAAGAAGCACCGGCCAACUACGUGCCAGCAGCCGCGGUAAUACGUAGGGUGCGAGCGUUGUCCGGAAUUACUGGGCGUAAAGAGCUUGUAGGCGGUCUGUCGCGUCUUCUGUGAAAACUUGGGGCUCAACCUUAAGCUUGCAGGCGAUACGGGCAGACUAGAGUACUUCAGGGGAGACUGGAAUUCCUGGUGUAGCGGUGAAAUGCGCANAUAUCANGANGAACACCGGUGGCGAANGCGGNUCUCUGGGAANUAGCUGACGCUGAGAANCGAAGCGUGAGU